rnacentral:rRNA from 1 species
AUACGUAGGGUGCAAGCGUUGUUCGGAAUCAUUGGGCGUAAAGCGCGUGUAGGCGGUUGGCUAAGUCCGGUGUGAAAUCCCGGGGCUUAACUCCGGAAGUGCAUUGGAUACUGGCCAGCUAGAGGACGGGAGAGGAAAGCGGAAUUCCUGGUGUAGGGGUGAAAUCCGUAGAUAUCAGGAGGAAUGCCGGAGGCGAAGGCGGCUUUCUGGUCCGUUUCUGACGCUGAGACGCGAAAGCGUGGGUAGC